rnacentral:rRNA from 1 species
GACGAACGCUGGCGGCGUGCUUAACACAUGCAAGUCGAACGGAAAGGCCCUGCUUUUGUGGGGUGCUCGAGUGGCGAACGGGUGAGUAACACGUGAGUAACCUGCCCUUGACUUUGGGAUAACUUCAGGAAACUGGGGCUAAUACCGGAUAGGAGCUCCUGCUGCAUGGUGGGGGUUGGAAAGUUUCGGCGGUUGGGGAUGGACUCGCGGCUUAUCAGCUUGUUGGUGGGGUAGUGGCUUACCAAGGCUUUGACGGGUAGCCGGCCUGAGAGGGUGACCGGCCACAUUGGGACUACGGUACGGCCCAGACUCCAACGGGAGGCAGCAGUGGGGAAUAUUGCACAAUGGGCGGAAGCCUGAUGCAGCAACGCCGCGUGCGGGAUGACGGCCUUCGGGUUGUAAACCGCUUUCGCCUGUGACGAAGCGUGAGUGACGGUAAUGGGUAAAGAAGCACCGGCUAACUACGUG